GGCCCUUUCGGGGGUACACGAGUGGCGAACGGGUGAGUAACACGUGGGUAAUCUGCCCUGCACUUCGGGAUAAGCCUGGGAAACCGGGUCUAAUACCGGAUAUGAGCUCCUGCCGCAUGGUGGGGGUUGGAAAGUUUUUCGGUGCAGGAUGAGUCCGCGGCCUAUCAGCUUGUUGGUGGGGUAAUGGCCUACCAAGGCGACGACGGGUAGCCGGCCUGAGAGGGUGAUCGGCCACACUGGGACUGAGACACGGCCCAGACUCCUACGGGAGGCAGCAGUGGGGAAUAUUGCACAAUGGGCGAAAGCCUGAUGCAGCGACGCCGCGUGGGGGAUGACGGUCUUCGGAUUGUAAACUCCUUUCAGUAGGGACGAAGCGAAAGUGACGGUACCUGCAGAAGAAGCACCGGCCAACUACGUGCCAGCAGCCGCGGUAAUACGUAGGGUGCAAGCGUUGUCCGGAAUUACUGGGCGUAAAGAGCUCGUAGGCGGUUUGUCACGUCGUCUGUGAAAUCCUCCAGCUCAACUGGGGGCGUGCAGGCGAUACGGGCAGACUUGAGUACUACAGGGGAGACUGGAAUUCCUGGUGUAGCGGUGAAAUGCGCAGAUAUCAGGAGGAACACCGGUGGCGAAGGCGGGUCUCUGGGUAGUAACUGACGCUGAGGAGCGAAAGCAUGGGGAGCAAACAGGAUUAGAUACCCUGGUAGUCCAUGCCGUAAACGGUGGGCGCUAGGUGUGGGGUCCUUCCACGGAUUCCGUGCCGUAGCUAACGCAUUAAGCGCCCCGCCUGGGGAGUACGGCCGCAAGGCUAAACUCAAAGGAA
rnacentral:rRNA from 1 species